rnacentral:misc_RNA from 1 species
GUUUGUGUGUGUGUGUGUUUUCUUUCUUCUAGCCUACAAGUAAAGCCCAUAUUAAAUUAAUAAACACCAAGAUAUUUAGCCACAAAACAUUUAAAAAAUAUUCUAAUAAAAGGCUAAAAGAGUGAAGCAAAUUUUAGGGGGAGGGAGUUUAAAGUGUAAUGGCCUUUAGAGCUGCUGUAAGGUAAAUGUUUCUUUAAAACCUAUUAGAUAAAAUGAAGACCUUUUUUGACACCGUGAUGAGAAAGAAAUGGUCAUCCUCCUAAAGAUCUGUAAGAGGAUAGCUUUGGAUAGAGACAAACUAGGGGAAAUGAAUUCAUCUGGUUGUCUUCACUAUCUUAAACUUAGGCCACCUUUUGCAUUUCAAGUAGUUUCAGUUUCUCUCAUUAGUAAGAGAAUGAAGGCUGUUGUGGAAAAUUUACUUUGCUAGCUUUAUGUAGCAAAAAAUUAUGAAUCUAUUGACCCACAAAAUGGCAAAAGAUGUUGAACGCUGAGAUUUGAUCAUGUUUACUAUGUGAAAAGCUAAUUACAAAUGUAACGCAGCAUAUUGUAAAUUAUUUUGAACUUUGCUACAUCUUGAGUACUGUUCAACAUCUCAGCUGCAUUUGGGCUGUGCUUCCCGGUUUUUGGGUCGUGGUCACUCAAGCUGAAGUUAAGUUCCCAUAGCUAGUUUGAUAACUUGAAAAUUAUGCAUGCAGCUGUAGAGAAUUGAAUUGGCUUUGAAUAAAUAAUAUUAUUGAGAACUACUUCAUGGUAUGCAAGUAAUAUAGCAUGGAAUUUCUGGAUCAACCCAUGGAAUGUCCUCCAAUAAUAUUGAGAUUGUCAACAAAAAAUUGAUGCAUCUUUGGAACCAUCUCAAAAUAAUUAGCUCCAUAAAUCAGCUAGUUCUUUGUUUAUUUAUCUAUUUAAACUCGUAAAAAUGGUUUGAUUGAAAAAUUUUCUUGCUGAUGGUAGCAUCCCACUUCCCUCUGAAAAUGAAUUUCUUUAUCAUGAAUUUCUUUAUCAUGAAUUGGGGAGUGGUACUCACUCUCAACCUUUAUGUUGAUCCUUUAGAGCAUAGUUUUAUAUAUGUUCAGUACAUUCAAUCGCUCAGCAUCAAACUUAAUUUGUCCCUCUUUUUCGAAUGGAAACAUUCUUCAUUUGCAUUAUAUUGGAAGAUCCCAGCUUGAUCAAAUUCCUGAAAUAAUGUGAUAGUUUAUGAUCAAUUAGUUGUCUAGAGUGUAAUUUUAACAUGUGACUUUCAUAUCAUGGGUGGCCUAUAUCUGUAUGUGUGGUAAAGCAAACAUGGUUAUGAGGUAAAUUAUCUUCCAACAGUGUAUGAACUAUGAAUUUCUUUGGUUUUCUAAUCUUCCAAAACUCUCCAUGCAGAUUACCCUUAUAUCUUGGGAUGGUAGGUGCUGGGUUGAAUGUGGUUAUAUUCGUAUAUACAAGUAUGUUUGCGUGGAGUGUCAGGAGAUUUGAUGAAAAAUGGGAGCUGUCAAGUAUAGCUGCUUUGCCAUUUGUUACCCUAUUGGGACUCAUCUCGUUUUGCUUGUUUGCCUUUGCUCUAUGGCCGAUAUGGAGUUUCUUGACCCUUCCUCUUCUGUUCACACUGUUCAUGGCUUGCAUGGUUAUCUUUCCCCAUAUCAUGAUUGUGACAUUCAGGCAGCCAAAUGACUCAUUCCGUAUAGAUUAAUAGUUCCAAGCAACAGGCUACUGACUUAGAUGAAGAUUUUCUAACUCGAAUACGAUGUUGAUGCCUGAUGGCAUUGGUUAUGUAUCAUGCAAUACGUCUCCUUUCUAGUUUUGCCAUCCUGGUGCUAACAACUAAAGCUGAGUGUCCUUCAAUUGGUCAGUAUUCAUUUCUCAGCUCGAUACACCACAUUUUAUGCCCUAUGGUUUGUAUCACUGGGAUAACAAGAAUUUACGACGGUCAAUUAUUAAUCAGAUUCUGCUGAGGUAUCAAUAGGCAUGUGGAGACAUUGAGCCUUUUAGGCAGUCUCCCAUAUUGUGCCAAAUUUUGUCAUCCAAUGUAAGCCUUGGUCUAGUAACAGGUUCAUCUCUGGUUUACGGAGGUGGUGGUGAUUCUAGCAGGGAGAUUGAAUGUUAAUACUAUUUUAGCCAAUUGGAAUUAUCUUCUGCUUCCAGUUUCAUAUUGUCUUGUCAUGAGUUUGUUGAUGUGGCUAAUAUAGGCCAAAUGUCAACAGAGGGGUUUGAUUCCAUGUAAGAUAGCUUAUAUGGAAUGAUAAACCAAUUAAAAAGACAAAUAGAUAAUAGUGUUCCUGCAAAAUUAAGUUUUAUUUUUAUCUACU